UCCUACGGGGGGCAGCAGUGAGGAAUAUUGCACAAUGGGCGAAAGCCUGAUGCAGCAACGCCGCGUGAGCGAUGAAGGCCUUCGGGUCGUAAAGCUCUGUCCUCAAGGAAGAUAAUGACGGUACUUGAGGAGGAAGCCCCGGCUAACUACGUGCCAGCAGCCGCGGUAAUACGUAGGGGGCUAGCGUUAUCCGGAAUUACUGGGCGUAAAGGGUGCGUAGGUGGUUUCUUAAGUCAGGAGUGAAAGGCUACGGCUCAACCGUAGUAAGCUUUUGAAACUGAGAAACUUGAGUGCAGGAGAGGAGAGUAGAAUUCCUAGUGUAGCGGUGAAAUGCGUAGAUAUUAGGAGGGAUACCAGUUGCGAAGGCGGCUCUCUGGACUGUAACUGACACUGAGGCACGAAAGCGUGGGGAGCAAACAGGAUUAGAUACCCCGGUAGUCCU
rnacentral:rRNA from 1 species